CCCUUAGAUGUUCUGGGCCGCACGCGCGCUACACUGACACGUUCAUCAAGUCUAUAACCUUGACCGAGAGGUCUGGGCAAUCUUUUAAAAACGUGUCGUGCUGGGGAUAGAUUAUUGCAAUUAUUAAUCUUCAACGAGGAAUUCCUAGUAAACGCAAGUCAUCAACUUGCAUUGAUUACGUCCCUGCCCUUUGUACACACCGCCCGUCGCUACUACCGAUUGAAUGAUUUAGUGAGUACCAGGGACCGAGCGCUUUGGUUGGGUUUCCUUCCCUAGCGCUUGGGAACUGUCGCAAACUUGACCAUUUAGAGGAAGUAAAAGUCGUAACA
rnacentral:rRNA from 1 species